rnacentral:rRNA from 1 species
UACGUAGGGUGCGAGCGUUAAUCGGAAUUACUGGGCGUAAAGCGUGCGCAGGCGGUUUUGUAAGACAGAGGUGAAAUCCCCGGGCUCAACCUGGGAACUGCCUUUGUGACUGCAAGGCUUGAGUGCGGCAGAGGGGGAUGGAAUUCCGCGUGUAGCAGUGAAAUGCGUAGAGAUGCGGAGGAACACCGAUGGCGAAGGCAGCCCCCUGGGCUAACACUGACGCUCAGGCACGAAAGCGUGGGGAGCAAACAGG